rnacentral:sRNA from 1 species
CCAUGAAGAUGAACGCACACGCCCAUGCUGACAGCGCGGCCCGCCAGGCCUCGGGCAUGACGUCGCGUGCUCGCCGACCGGAAUCCUGCACCUAGCUGGGUACCCCGGACGUCUUCGCCUGUCUU